rnacentral:rRNA from 1 species
UUUARGCCCCCAUAAACSACSGGAAUCCUGCCGVGCMGSCCCGMUACUACGUACGGUGCGAGCGUUUUCCGGAAUUACUUGGCGUAAAAAGCUCGUAGGUGGUUUGUCGCGUUGUUCGUGAAAUCUCACGGCUUAACUGUGAGCGUGCGGGCGAUACGGGCAGACUAGAGUACUGCAGGGGAGACUGGAAUUCCUGGUGUAGCGGUGGAAUGCGCAGAUAUCAGGAGGAACACCGGUGGCGAAGGCGGGUCUCUGGGCAGUMACUGACGCUGAGGAGCGAAAGCKUGGGGAGCGAACAGGAUUAGAUACCCUGGUAGUCCACGCCGUAAAACGGUGGGUACUAGGUGUGGGUUUCCUUCCUUGGGAUCCGUGCCGUAGCUAACGCAUUAAGUACCCCGYBUGGGGAGUACGGCCGCAAGGCUAAAACUCAAAGGAAAUCAG